rnacentral:rRNA from 1 species
GCAUCGAUGAAGAACGCAGCCAGUUGCGAUAAGUAGUGUGAAUUGCAGAAUUCAGUGAAUCAUCGAAUCUUUGAACGCAAAUUGCGCUUUCUGGAUAUCCAGGGAGCAUGCCUGUCUGAGCGUCGUUUAAUAAUCUACACACCUCGGUGUGGGUAGGGAGCCCAUACGUGACUCUUCAUUGAAGAUACGUGCGCGUCUCGAUGUACUUGAACCUAGUGAUGUGCACUGUGCAUUGCUUGGAAGGCUCAACUUGCUUCUGUCCUUCUUCAGCACUGCUGGUGUUUUACACGACCGUUCUGUCUCAGCUCUUCCGGCUGAAAACUACUAUAUUUUGACCUCAGAUCAGACAAGACUACCCGCUGAAUUUAAGCAUAUCAAUAAGCGGAGGA